GCCCCUGUAGCUCAGCGGUAGAGCAUCACAUUGGUAAUGUGAAGGUCAUGGGUUCAAUCCCCAUCGGGGGCUCCA
rnacentral:tRNA from 1 species